rnacentral:rRNA from 1 species
UACGAAGGGGGCUAGCGUUGCUCGGAAUUACUGGGCGUAAAGGGCGCGUAGGCGGCACUGUUAGUCAGGCGUGAAAUUCCUGGGCUCAACCUGGGGACUGCGCUUGAUACGGCAGAGCUUGAGGAUGGAAGAGGGUCGCGGAAUUCCCAGUGUAGAGGUGAAAUUCGUAGAUAUUGGGAAGAACCCCGGUGGCGAAGGCGGCGACCUGGUCCAUUACUGACGCUGAGGCGCGACAGCGUGGGGAGCAAACAGG